GCAGCGUCGGGCGUCCGCGCCCGGCGAAGGGUCACAAC
rnacentral:other from 1 species